rnacentral:rRNA from 1 species
GACGAACGCUGGCGGCGUGCCUAAUACAUGCAAGUCGAACGCAGUGGGGACGGGUGAGUAACACGGGGGUAACCUCCCAUCAGAGGGGAUAACACUUGGAAACAGGUGCUAAACCGCUACUGAUGGAUGGAGCCGCGGUGCAUUAGCCAGUUGGUGAGGUAACGGCUAACCAAGGGCAAGAUGCAUAGCCGACCUGAGGGGGUGAUCGGCCACACUGGGACUCAUACAAGGCCCAGACUCCUACGGGAGGCAGCAGUAGGGAAUCUUCGGCAAUGGACGAAAGUCUGACCGAGCAACGCCGCGUGAGUGAAGAAGGUUUUCGGAUCGUAAACCUCUGUUGUUAGAGAAGCGGUAUCUAACCAGAAAGCCACGGCUAACUACGUGCCAGCAGCCGCGGUAAUUC